AUGAGGUGCCCAGCCAUCGCCCGCCGGCGGUCGGAGGCCAACCGAAGGAGCAGACGCAGCAAAUCUUGGACCGGGGUGACUCGAGGUCGGAGAAGACGAGGGACCCAAAAAAGUUGGAGAGACACCUGGUGGGAGGAAGGGCGGAGGAGGAGGGAGGUGGUGUGGCAUAGGAGCAGUGCUGGGAGAGGCGCCGGGGGAGAGCAGCAGCGGGGCGCCGCCGCGCCGUGCGAGCGCGUCGCAGGAGCGUCGAGCUCCAACGGUCAUAUUUCCUCCUCCGGCCUUUGGGCAUGGACGCCUUCUCCUCAUCGCAUCCCCAAGGUGCUGUGGUGCACGCUGGUGAACAAGGGUGCGGGUGGCCUCUCCUCCAAGGUCCGCAUCGAGGAGGAUCGCCCUGAUCAAUGGAAGAGAGGCGUCUCGUUCCGCGUCCUACUCCAUGUCGACUGCGUGGAGGAUUUCACUGGAGCUCCGGUCUUGGACGGCGGUGAGCCGCUCACCAACUUCAGGCCCGUUUCGCACUCCCUGCCGCAAUGCAACCUGGGCACCAUUGACGGCCGGCCCGUUGGUGAGGGCUCGGGUUCCAUCCUUCCGGCCCCCAUCCCAGCUUUGGGCGAACUCGGCCCAGCCUACCAUAGACGCCACGACGAUGAAGAUCGUUUUGGGCGGGCCCCCUCUGUCGCUCAUGACGAGCAUGACAAACCGCUUCACGCACGGCCACGGGAGGAAGAACGACGCGCGUCUCAUCGCUCCCUCUCCAGGGCCACGGAACGACGCCGUUCACGCUCUGUGGAGACGAAGGAUCGUCGUCGCAGCCGCUCACGGCACGGCUCUCGCUGCGAUGACAGGGUGACGCGCAAACGCCACCACUGGGAAGACGACGAUGACGAGGAACGCCGGGGACCUCGCCGUGAGUCCUCACGUCGCAACUCCUCUCGCUCCUCCCGCGCCAAGUCUGCGGGCCAUCACCGUGACGGAGGGAGGGGUCGCUCCCAUGGCCGCAGUUCGGGUCGUUCCUUUGGCCACCAUGUUGUUCACCGACGCCACAUCACCGAGCAGCGCAAUUCUGCUCCUAGCAGCCUGGCCGGAGACUCCCCGGCGCGGAUGAAACUCUCCUCCGUCAUUGCAUGUGACGCGGCUUGCACGGACUGGACGUCCGCUAUCAAGCCUCCACCAUGGGCUUCUCGCGGCUCACCUCGCCCCCACCAUAAGUGCACAUCGAGCCUCCCCUCCCCAGCGCUUGGCUGGAAGACGUGA
rnacentral:rRNA from 1 species